rnacentral:rRNA from 1 species
AGUGAACGCUGGCGGUAGGCCUAACACAUGCAAGUCGAACGGCAGCACAGUAAGAGCUUGCUCUUACGGGUGGCGAGUGGCGGACGGGUGAGGAAUAUAUCGUAAUCUACUUUUUCGUGGGGGAUAACGUAGGGAAACUUACGCUAAUACCGCAUACGACCUACGGGUGAAAGCAGGGGAUCUUCGGACCUUGCGCGAUUGAAUUAGCCGAUGUCGGAUUAGCUAGUUGGCGGGGUAAAGGCCCACCAAGGCGGCGAUCCGUAGCUGGUCUGAGAGGCUGAUCAGCCACACUGGAACUGAGACACGGUCCAGACUCCUACGGGAGGCAGCAGUGGGGAAUAUUGGACAAUGGGCGCAAGCCUGAUCCAGCCAUACCGCGUGGGUGAAGAAGGCCUUCGGGUUGUAAAGCCCUUUUGUUGGGAAAGAAAAGCAGCAGGUUAAUACCCCGCUGUUCUGACGGUACCCAAAGAAUAAGCACCGGCUAACUUCGUG